UUCAGCAGUUAGUAGUGUUGCACCAAUACCGCUUUUUGGCUCCCGAUUCCAACAUGGCUUUAGGACGAUCGUGUUGGUAGGGGUGACGGUCCCGUCAAAGUCUAUGCAUUGACGUUCAGAAGAAGUCAUAAAUAGCUUAUACUAAUUUUCAAAAGAUUUUAUUUUGCCUUUCUUAUGUACUCGGUGGCUGCCAUGGGCGACGCGAGACGUCCAAUCCAUUUGAAGUGGGAGGGUUGGCAACGGAUGAAGCCAACUUCCCACUUCAAAUGGGUGAGGCGUCUACUAGCGAUAAACUGAUCGGCAGGACAGUGCACCUUCGUAAAGAUUCUCGUUUUAUUCCUAAAAACUUGAAAUAACUACAGUGGUACCUCUACAUCCGAUCGCUUCGACACACGAACUUUUCGACAUCCGACGUAAAAUUUGACUCGCCAUUUGUUUCUACAUCCGACGACAUGCUCGAAAUACGACGACAACGGCAGCACCGCAGACGAAUGCACGGCGGAUUUUCUUGUGUGACAAAUCAACACAGGUUUCAGAAAAGGUUGGUACAGGUGGUGAAACAAGGAAAAAGUUGACGCUUACCUUCUAAAUGAAGAUGCAAAUGACAGAAAAAUAUGAUCGUGGGGUGAAAUGGCUCAACAAUACAUCUCCAUGGUCCUCCUCCGACCAUCGUUCGCCAGUCUUUAUAAGUUAAGCUGACAAUUCUUAUUGUGGUAACAUCUCCAGAGAAAUCGCCAACUUCGCCACGUUUUCAUCAUUUCUUUCACAACUUAUUCAACACAAAACGCCUGCUGUCUGCCGCAAUUGACGAUGUUCUCAAGAAAGCAUUGAAAGCGAAAGUAAACUCUCACCCGCUCCCCUCCCUCUUUGUCUCGUGAGCCCCGCGGUGCCUUCAGGUACAGAAAAAAACGUCCGCCUUAUUAUGGGGUCAGAUUAGUCUCAUAAGUACUCGUACAUACAUUGUGGGAUUCGUAAACACAUAGCACGCGAAACACACACACAUUGUGGGAUUCGUACACACAUAGCAUGCGAACCACACGCAAUUGUGGGAUUCGUACACACAUAGCACGCGAACCACACACAUUGUGGGAUUCGUAAACACAUAGCACGCGAAACACACACACAUCGUGGGAUUCGUAAACACAUAGCACGCGAAACACAAACACAUUCACCAAAUGUGUGUGUGAAUUGUUUUACGCGCAUUUGCAACGUGCUUCCAAUUACAAAUUCCCACUUACGAAUACAAAUUCCCACUUACGAAUGUGUGGAUCGUUUUGAUACCCGUCAUGCGCAACUGAGAAGAACACAUGCAUUUUUUUAACUGGAGCCCGUCUUCAGCCAAUCAGACGUCUUCUUCUUAAACAGCCAAUCACAAGGGCUGGGCUGUUUCGUUACGUCACUGCUGUGCGCCUUCAAGUCCGGUGUACUGAGUGACAAGUGACAAAUGGGGAGCUUUUGUAAAAGUAGGAGCCCCGUUUUUGACAGCUCAACUCGACCGCGGGGACUAUCGAUGCAAGCUGAAGACGUCCCAUCCAUUUUGAGUGGGAGGACCUCCCAUGCACUUCAAAUGUAUUGGAUGUCAACUGGUGAAAAACUCAUUGAACCGCUCAGCAGAGGGAUGAUGAGAGCAAGAUUAGAUGUCUAAUACUGUACUAUAUGUGGCACAUUUUUAACAGGCUUUUUUUCCGCUAAAUAAAUCUUUUUAAGAUUACUUUCUCCAUUUCAAGCCUAUUUGAAAGUCAUACUUGGGAAAAUUCAGACUUCUUAAUGUAUGAUUGUGAUGUCUAUGCUUAAACCAAUUUAAGACCAUUUUAAAAGGAAAAAAAUAGACAUUAUAAGCCUGUUAAAAAUGCUACCUACAGUGACAGUAUUUAAAGGAUGGUAGUCUAUUACGGAUAUAAAAAAAUAUAUUUUUUGAAAGACUUGGAGCAACAGAGCUUUCUUGCCAAAUGAAUCACAUUUGAUACACUUAGGAUUUAGAACUCUUUCCUCAAAAAAAAAAAAAAAAAAAAAUGGAUGCAAGUCAACUCAUGCAUCUGCAUGUUCCAUGAGAAAAACAGGAUUUAACAAGGAAAAUAGAUAUUAGAGCGCUUAUUACACAUUUUUCUUUACAAAUUUGGAAAAAAAAAGGUUUAAGACCUUAUUUUUCACAUUUUGUGAUUCUCUGACAAUUGCUUCAUAUUGCAGGCAUUAAGGGGUUAAGACCUGCCACAUGAAUUUUACUACCUUUUUAAACACUUUUUUUUAUUGCGACAAACCUAAUAAGUGAUCAAUGAUGGCAAGAGAGGAUAAAGCGCAGCAGCAAAUCCUCAGAUCUGUUCUUUGGAUGCCUUUGAAAGUAAAUAGUGACAUUGAGAGCAAUCAGGAGUUCAAUUAUGUGAGGUGAGGAGACCAAGUAAGUUUUGAGACAUUUUUUUAAUUUAAAUAGACAUCUCAGACUCCCAGCCUGUAGGAGGGCACAGGCUAGAUCUCCUCGAGCCUUCAGAACUUCGGGAAGGUGGGUCUGGUUGUGCCUGAGAUCUCCAUUGGCCAUAUACUCUUCCGCAAACUGAAAUGGCAUUUUAGGCAUUCUGUUACAUAUCAGUGCUAAACAACAACAGCAGCAAAGUUUUACUGCAGAGACUCCGAAAUCUUAAAAUCAUUACCUUUAAUGUGAAAACCCCACAGCUACUGUUGUUCUGCUGCUUGUUAUGGGCCACAGUUUUGGUAGUCCAAGUUUCUAUUUGGAACUCACGGCCCGCCAACCUCAAGAAGUUCCUAAUUAUUGUUUUAUAAGCAAAACAAUGAAGAUGAACAUUGAACUAUUAACUUCCAUAUUAACAUAAUACUAGGAAUUUAAACUUUCUGAAGCGGUUACCUCCAAUUCCGCAAGAUUUUGCUCAUAUUUGUCCUCGUUACUCAAGGGAUCGUUGAUCACCAGUGUUCUCUUAGAAAUGUGGACAAUCUAUAAAAGGUUAGUUCCUUUGUGUAAUUCUGCACAAUGACAGAUUUAUGUAGUUAACUUACUAAUGAAAUUUAACUUCUGUAUGGCAUCAGCUAAAUUAAUAGCUAUAUAUAAUACAUUCCAGAAUCGGUAGGUCUUAAGAAAAUAUAAGAAACCCACUAACCACUAAAAUCCAAUGAGCGCAUACAGGACAGGACAGGACAAAUACACUUUUUUUUUCAACAGGGAAUUUCCUCUGAAGAACAUACAAUACCAAAUUAUUGUUAUUUUGGGUUACUGGCGUUAAAAUAAUAUAGCUAAAUAUUGGCAUGAAAUGGAUUACCUUUCUAACAGGCUGAAAUUUUCCCAAAAGCAGACUCCCAGCUACCACAGCAGAGAGUUGGUGAAUGGGCUCCUGUUAAAAAAAGGGGUAACAACAUUACAACUAUACUCCGGCAAAAAAUAAAUGCAUUGAGAAAAACUAUAUCCAGCACUUGGCUGCUGCCUUUCAAUGAGGAUAUGCAUGUAUGCAUCAAAUACUUGCAUAGCAAAAUAAAAAAAUUGGCAAAAGGCAAGAAUCUUUGUUAUUUGCUAAACACUUAUUGCUCCCACUGACUUCAUCAGACAGCCAGCCGUUGCCUUUUAGCGUAUGAAAAGAUGUGUCGUAUAAUUUAUACGGUCCAACGACAGCCUCCACCUUGCCUUGAUCCUCUGCAGCCCACAGUAAUUUAACUGAAAACACAACAUUGUUAAAUCAAAAAAGUUAUUAUUUACGGCACUUGACCAGAUGACCAUCCGGUCAAAAUUAUCUACUGAAUAGGCCAAACCACCAAACAAAUCCUGUCGGUCGUUCACCAAUUUUGUAAGAGCUGUACGAAGUAGAAGGGUACAAUUAGAUAUACAUUUUAGAACACCAACAACAAC